rnacentral:misc_RNA from 1 species
UGGCGGUCUCAAGGCGCUGAUCGCGCGUGCCGAUGCCAACACCAAGGUGCUCGCCGACUGGAAGGCGAAGACGCCGUGGGUGGAUUUCCUUGCGGCCGAUCCCGCUCCAACACGUCGGUGUGCCUGAAGGUCGUCGAUCCGGCGAUCACCGCGCUCUCUGCUGAUGCGCAGGCUGACUUCGCCAAGAAGCUGGUUGCGGCGGUCGAGAAGGAAGGCGCCGGUUACGACUUCGCGCAUUACCGCGAUGCGCCGGCCGGUCUUCGCAUCUGGUGCGGUGCGACGGUUGAGGCCAGGGACGUCGAGAUUCUGACGCAGU